AGGGAAAAUUUAAAGGUUACUGCUAAUAAUUUUUUGUCAAUUUAAUUUGACUUUCUCUU
rnacentral:tRNA from 1 species